AUUGAACGCUGGCGGCAGGCCUAACACAUGCAAGUCGAGCGGAUGAAGGGAGCUUGCUCCUGGAUUCAGCGGCGGACGGGUGAGUAAUGCCUAGGAAUCUGCCUGGUAGUGGGGGAUAACGUCCGGAAACGGGCGCUAAUACCGCAUACGUCCUGAGGGAGAAAGUGGGGGAUCUUCGGACCUCACGCUAUCAGAUGAGCCUAGGUCGGAUUAGCUAGUUGGUGGGGUAAAGGCCUACCAAGGCGACGAUCCGUAACUGGUCUGAGAGGAUGAUCAGUCACACUGGAACUGAGACACGGGCCAGACUCCUACGGGAGGCAGCAGUGGGGAAUAUUGGACAAUGGGCGAAAGCCUGAUCCAGCCAUGCCGCGUGUGUGAAGGGGGUCUUCGGAUUGUAAAGCACUUUAAGUUGGGAGGAAGGGCAGUAAGUUAAUACCUUGCUGUUUUGACGUUACCAACAGAAUAAGCACCGGCUAACUUCGUG
rnacentral:rRNA from 1 species